rnacentral:misc_RNA from 1 species
AUGUUGUUGAAUAAUAUGUUUUUCAAGCAAAUCAAAUUGGUGAGAUGGCAGAAGAAGCACCACCAAAGGAAAUUAGCGAGUAUUUUCAACGAACCCUUUCAAUGGGUCAACUUGGAGUUGUGAACGUACCAAUAAAUGUCAACAACUUUGAACACAAAUCGGGGUCGAUAUAAAUGGCUCGUGGCAUUGCAUUUAGAGAUGCCCAUCGAUGAUUGACA